rnacentral:hammerhead_ribozyme from 1 species
GCACUGCUGAGGAGUCCCAUAACAGGUCUAAACGGUCGUCCAGUGC